rnacentral:lncRNA from 1 species
GGCUGAGCGAAGGAAAACUCUCCAGGACCGCGACGGGUACAACGACUCUAUCAGCCGGCCUUGCCCGCACAUCUCCUCUAUCGAGAGGUCAAGUGUCCACGAAGCCACCCGUUGUGACCAAAGAAGGAGGUAACGGAGAUGUGGCUUUGGAGAUUCGGAGUCUUUAAUGGAUCUGUCUUCACUUUCUAGGAGGUCCUGUCUCCCCUCCUGAUCAAAUGGAGUCCUGUCAGGUCUGAGAAAGACACAGCUGCCUUGGGACAGGCCAACCCACACCAAUGCUUCCCCCGAACAGUGCUUGCCCAGACAGCUUUGGCAUUCUGGCAUAUACUUUGGGACUGGAAGUUGUUAUUGUUUCCCUGGCAACCACCAUAGAUGAAGAGUUGGCACGUGCCGUUUUUCUUAUUAUACCACCAACGAGGGAAGUAAGCCAUGCAGUAGCCAGAGUCUUUUGGUAGGCUGCAAAUAUCUGCGGAGGAACCCCAGAGUUGAGAGCUCAAGAGUGCACAACCCGAAACAAAAUAAUGAGAGCCACCUUCCCCUUCUCCUUCCCCUUGGAGCAAACUCUUUCUCCCCCUCCCGCUCCAGUGGUUCAACACCUGAAACAUUUCGUGUACUUGUGGAAGAUGCUACGGAGGAUAUCCGCGUCCCUGGAGGUAGGCAUCCUUGUGGAUGGUUAUGGUCUGAACAUGAAAUGUCCCCUCACAGGCUUACAUUCCGAAGACUUGUCACCAGCUGGGGGUGACAUUUUUGGAGGCUGUGGGACCUGUUAGGAGGCGGAGCCUGGGGUUGGGGAUUUAGCUCAGCGGUAGAGUGCUUACCUAGCUAGCGCAAGGCCCUGGGUUCGGUCCCCAGCUCCGGGUCCCCAGCUCCG